ACGGCUCAGUAACACGUAGAUAAUUUGCCCUUAGGUGGGGGAUACCCUCGGGAAACUGAGAAUAAUACUCCAUAGAUCUAGACUGCUGGAAUGCUUUUAGAUUGAAAGAUUUAUCGCCUAAGGAUAAGUCUGCGGACUAUCAGGUUGUAGUCAGGGUAACUACCUGACUAGCCUACGACGGAUACGGGUAGUGAGAGCUUUAGCCCGGAGAUGAUAUCUGAGACACGAUAUCAGGCCCUACGGGGCGCAGCAGGCGCGAAAACUUCGCACUGUGCGAAAGCACGACGAGGGAAUCCCAAGUGCUGGCUCGUAAGAGUCAGCUGUUUCUCUGUCUAAAAAACAGAGAGAGUAAGGGCUGGGUAAGACGGGUGCCAGCAGCCGCGGUAAUA
rnacentral:rRNA from 1 species